AUUGAACGCUGGCGGCAGGCCUAACACAUGCAAGUCGAACGAGUGGCGGACGGGUGAGUAAUGUCUGGGAAACUGCCCGAUGGAGGGGGAUAACUACUGGAAACGGUAGCUAAUACCGCAUACCAUCGGAUGUGCCCAGAUGGGAUUAGCUUGUAGGUGAGGUAACGGCUCACCUAGGCGACGAUCCCUAGCUGGUCUGAGAGGAUGACCAGCCACACUGGAACUGAGACACGGUCCAGACUCCUACGGGAGGCAGCAGUGGGGAAUUGUGCACACGGGGCGCAAGGCGUAUGCAGCUAUGCGGAGUGUAUGAAGAAGGCCUUCGGGUUGUAAAGUACUUGCAGCGGGGAGGCGUUACCCGCAGAAGAAGCACCUGCUAACUCCGUGCCAGCAGCCGCGGUAAUUC
rnacentral:rRNA from 1 species